GUUGGUUCAAUGGUGUACAAAGAUGCUCAGAAUACAAGAAAAAUGGAGUUAAAAUAAUCAAUUCAAAUGUGCUAUUUUCUUAAUUCCCAACAUUUCAUGAGGAUUACUUUGUGUGUUGCCGGUCGACCUGGAUUACACUGAAAGAGGAAGCAGCAGCGCACUGUACAUUGGGCUUUAUCGCUAACAUUUCAUUGGCAGUGAAAGGAUACAUCAGAGAGGUCCAAUCACUUCCUGAAGAUCCCCGCUGGGCCAUGGCUGGCAAGAGGAGAAUUCAGCAGGGUAGCUGGUGACAUCUGAGAGUGGGGAACCAAAACUGGCACCAAAAGAGAUAUCUGCAGCCAGAAAUGAGCAGCAGGUCAACUUUAUUUUUAUCUUAACCAGACAGACUCUACAUGCCAUAAUGAACAGCAACAAGCGAGCUCAUAGCCAUGAACGCAGGCUCAGUUAGGACGGAGAGGUCUUCACUUCUUUUCAUUCCAUGCUGUAUCAAUGUCCAUUGCAGAGCAGCAGAAGGAACCUUUAAAAUGAAGAUCAUGCUGUGCCUGGUAGGAUGCACCUGUGAUUCGAGCACUCCUGCAGGCUAAGGCAGGAAGAUCUCAAGUGCAAGCAUGGGCAAUUUAGCCAAUUGUGAGAUGAAUUCAGUGAAUGACAUGGACUAUGGAGAAAAUAAAAAGGAAUGGGACCCAAAACGCCAUUAUUUAGACAUAGUAUCAAG
ensembl:lncRNA